rnacentral:misc_RNA from 1 species
GAUGAAGAACGUAGCGAAAUGCGAUAAGUAAUGUGAAUUGCAGAAUUCAGUGAAUCAUCGAAUCUUUGAACGCACAUUGCGCCCGCUAGUAUUCUGGCGGGCAUGCCUGUCCGAGCGUCAUUUCAACCAUCAAGCCCCCGGGCUUGUGUUGGGGACCUGCGGCUGCCCGCAGGCCCUGAAAACCAGUGGCGGGCUCGCUGUCACACCGAGCGUAGUAGCAAUCACCUCGCUCAGGGCGUGCUGCGGGUUCCGGCCGUUAAACAGCCUUACAAAACCCAAGGUUGACCUCGGAUCAGGUAGGAAGACCCGCUGAACUUAAGCAUAUCAAUAAGCGGAGGA